rnacentral:rRNA from 1 species
GACGAACGCUGGCGGCGUGCUUAACACAUGCAAGUCGAACGGAAAGGCCCUGCUUUUGCGGGGUGCUCGAGUGGCGAACGGGUGAGUAACACGUGAGUAACCUGCCCUUGACUUUGGGAUAACUUCAGGAAACUGGGGCUAAUACCGGAUAGGAGCUCCUGCUGCAUGGUGGGGGUUGGAAAGUUUCGGCGGUUGGGGAUGGACUCGCGGCUUAUCAGCUUGUUGGUGGGGUAGUGGCUUACCAAGGCUUUGACGGGUAGCCGGCCUGAGAGGGUGACCGGCCACAUUGGGACUGAGAUACGGCCCAGACUCCUACGGGAGGCAGCAGUGGGGAAUAUUGCACAAUGGGCGGAAGACUGAUGCAGCAACGCCGCGUGCGGGAUGACGGCCUUCGGGUUGUAAACCGCUUUCGCCUGUGACGAAGCGUGAGUGACGGUAAUGGGUAAAGAAGCACCGGCUAACUACGUG